UUUAGUGGUAAAACUACAGCCUUCCAAGCUGUUGUCGUGGGUUCGAUUCCCAUCACCC
rnacentral:tRNA from 1 species